UACGAGGGGGGCGAGCGUUGUUCGGAAUUACUGGGCGUAAAGGGUGCGCAGGCGGCGUCGCAAGUCAGGCGUGAAAUCCCCGGGCUUAACCUGGGAACUGCACUUGAAACUACGAUGCUGGAGUAUGGCAGAGGGAGGUGGAAUUCCACGUGUAGCGGUGAAAUGCGUAGAGAUGUGGAGGAACACCGAUGGCGAAGGCAGCCUCCUGGGCCAAUACUGACGCUCAUGCACGAAAGCGUGGGGAGCAAACAGG
rnacentral:rRNA from 1 species